rnacentral:rRNA from 1 species
GACGAACGCUGGCGGCGUGCCUAAUACAUGCAAGUAGAACGCACAGUUUAUACCGUAGCUUGCUACACCAUAGACUGUGAGUUGCGAACGGGUGAGUAACGCGUAGGUAACCUGCCUGGUAGCGGGGGAUAACUAUUGGAAACGAUAGCUAAUACCGCAUAAUAUUGAUUAUUGCAUGAUAAUUGAUUGAAAGAUGCUAUUGCAUCACUACCAGAUGGACCUGCGUUGUAUUAGCUAGUAGGUGAGGUAACGGCUCACCUAGGCGACGAUACAUAGCCGACCUGGGAGGGUGAUCGGCCACACUGGGACUGGGACACGGCCCAGACUCCUACGGGAGGCAGCAGUAGGGAAUCUUCGGCAAUGGACGAAAGUCUGACCGAGCAACGCCGCGUGAGUGAAGAAGGUUUUCGGAUCGUAAAGCUCUGUUGUAAGAGAAGAACGGGUGUGAGAGUGGAAAGUUCACACUGUGACGGUAUCUUACCAGAAAGGGACGGCUAACUACGUG